UUAGUUUAAAUCAUUGUGUGUUUAUACUUUGAAAAUUGAACCCACACAAAUUAGUGAGACAUACAUUGAUUUCAUCCAA
rnacentral:pre_miRNA from 1 species